ACUCCUACGGGAGGCAGCAGUAGGGAAUCUUCCACAAUGGGCGCAAGCCUGAUGGAGCAACACCGCGUGAGUGAAGAAGGGUUUCGGCUCGUAAAGCUCUGUUGUUAAAGAAGAACACGUAUGAGAGUAACUGUUCAUACGUUGACGGUAUUUAACCAGAAAGUCACGGCUAACUACGUGCCAGCAGCCGCGGUAAUACGUAGGUGGCAAGCGUCAUCCGGAUUUAUUGGGCGUAAAGAGAGUGCAGGCGGUUUUCUAAGUCUGAUGUGAAAGCCUUCGGCUUAACCGGAGAAGUGCAUCGGAAACUGGAUAACUUGAGUGCAGAAGAGGGUAGUGGAACUCCAUGUGUAGCGGUGGAAUGCGUAGAUAUAUGGAAGAACACCAGUGGCGAAGGCGGCUACCUGGUCUGCAACUGACGCUGAGACUCGAAAGCAUGGGUAG
rnacentral:rRNA from 1 species